rnacentral:lncRNA from 1 species
GUUGGUGUUUGCUGUUGUUUUUGCUAAACUUAAAACCUCUGUAUAAAAGGUAGAUGCAAGCAUUUUCAAAGCAACUUACUUCCAUUUUGUAAUAGCCUAUGAGAUCAGUCUUGAACAAACAGAGGAAGGGAGGUUCUGAAUUAAAAAGCAUUUUUACAGCAUCCAGUAAUGCAAUGGCUGGACGACCACGAUGUGUCAGAUUAACUGGGUGGACACACUGGAUAUUAUCAACAAUUCUGCUGCUGUGGAGUUACCAGAUCAGUGGACAAGGACAAGAAUCACUUGGAAUGCUUCAGAUGGACCCAGUUAUUUCUACAAGCAGAAUUCACUUUGGCAGUAGGAGACAGUCUUUGCAGUACUUGAAGCAGUUUGGGAGCGGAGAAGGAAGAAGCUUCGAGAAUUUCUAA